rnacentral:rRNA from 1 species
UUGAACGCUGGCGGCAUGCCUUACACAUGCAAGUCGAACGGUAACGGGCCUUCGGGUGCCGACGAGUGGCGAACGGGUGAGUAAUACAUCGGAACGUGCCCGAUCGUGGGGGAUAACGAGGCGAAAGCUUUGCUAAUACCGCAUACGAUCUACGGAUGAAAGCAGGGGACCGCAAGGCCUUGCGCGGACGGAGCGGCCGAUGGCAGGUUAGGUAGUUGGUGGGAUAAAAGCUUACCAAGCCGACGAUCUGUAGCUGGUCUGAGAGGAUGAUCAGCCACACUGGGACUGAGACACGGCCCAGACUCCUACGGGAGGCAGCAGUGGGGAAUUUUGGACAAUGGGCGCAAGCCUGAUCCAGCCAUGCCGCGUGCAGGAUGAAGGCCUUCGGGUUGUAAACUGCUUUUGUACGGAACGAAAAGCCUUCUUUUAAUACAGGAGGGUCAUGACGGUACCGUAAGAAUAAGCACCGGCUAACUACGUG